UACGUAGGGUCCUAGCGUUGUCCGGAUUUAUUGGGCGUAAAGAGCGUGUAGGUGGCUCGGUAAGUCCGCUGUGAAAGUCCAGGGCUCAACCCUGGAAAGCCGGUGGAAACUGUCGAGCUCGAGUCCGGAAGAGGCGAGUGGAAUUCCUGGUGUAGCGGUGAAAUGCGCAGAUAUCAGGAGGAACACCAAUGGCGAAGGCAGCUCGCUGGGACGGUACUGACACUGAGACGCGAAAGCGUGGGGAGCAAACAGG
rnacentral:rRNA from 1 species